GCCCAGACUCCUACGGGAGGCAGCAGUGGGGGAUAUUGGACAAUGGGGGAAACCCUGAUCCAGCGAUGCCGCGUGAGGGAAGAAGGUUUUCGGAUUGUAAACCUCUGUGGACAGGGACGAUAAUGACGGUACCUGUCAAGAAAGCCACGGCUAACUACGUGCCAGCAGCCGCGGUAAUACGUAGGGGGCAAGCGUUAUCCGGAUUUACUGGGUGUAAAGGGGGCGCAGACGGCAAUGCAAGCCAGGAGUGAAAGCCCGGGGCCCAACCCCGGGACUGCUCUUGGAACUGCAUGGCUGGAGUACAGGAGGGGCAGGCGGAAUUCCUAGUGUAGCGGUGAAAUGCGUAGAUAUUAGGAGGAACACCGGCGGCGAAGGCGGCCUGCUGGACUGAAACUGACGUUGAGGCUCGAAAGCGUGGGGAGCAAACAGGAUUAGAUACCCCAGUAU
rnacentral:rRNA from 1 species